CAGCCCAUAGAUCAUCUUUGUGGGCCUCCUCUGGACCUCCUCCGACAGCUCUGCAUCCUUCCUGUGUUGGGAGCCUCAGGAACAGUUUUAAGGGAAGUGACAUUUGUGUCUACAGCAAAUAUUGUUUUGUAGAGAGAGCUGACCUUGGUAGUUUAUCUUGCUUUUGCAAGAGCUUGUUUUGAAAGCAGGUGUUUUACUUGGGUUUUGUAUCACGCAUUGGCCGCAGGGGUACAGUGUGCAAGUGGAAAAAUCCCUGCAGACCCUGGGGAGAAUAAAGCAUGAAAGAAGCUGCGGUGAGGAAGAGAGGGAAAGUGCACUUUGAAGCAAGGGAUGCCCUGCUGGCACUAUCUAUCGAAUCCACUGCUGGCAUGUUCGUUCUUUCCCCUUUUCAGCGGUUUGUUGUCUCUCAAGGAUCAGUUAGAUCUUCUACCUGGGGUAUUGCAUCCAUGCACCAUGAUGAAUAUCAACUGAGAACAAUCAUCUAUAUCUCAUACAAGUAGUGGAGGGGAAGUUAUCACUAUGGGAAAUUCUGGAACAGUCUGAAGAACAGAAGAAAAACUCCCUUUAUUCAAGAACAGAUGGACAAGGCAGAUCAGGCCAUGGUACUGUUAGGAGACUUCAGCUACACUGAUGUCUGCUGGAAAAGCAGUAAUGUAAGCUGCAAGCAGUCUGGGAGACUCCUGGAGCAUGAUGAAGAUAACUUCCUACUCCAGAUGAUAGAACGCCCAACUAGAGGAGAUGCAUUCCUGAACUUGUUUCUCAGCAAUGCAGAGAAACUUACUGGAGAGCCCUGGUUCCUCGUUGGCUGAGUACUGCAGAUUCACACUCUUUUGUGAUGCUCCACUAGUCAUACAAAUACCAAGUAAGCACAAAUCUUUGCCACCCAGACACAAAUAUCUUAAUUGAUUAAUUGCCUUCUAACAAUUGCUUUCUUAACAAACAUUUGGUCAUAACUUUUCGAUGUCUGUUUUACAGCAAAAACAUAAACAUAGCCUCUUAAUCGUUUAAUAAUCCCCCCUAACACUUGUGCCCCUUUACACUGGGUCAUUGUUCUGGUCAUUUAUCUGUCCUUGCAUAGAGACAAGCUUGAAAGGAGGAUAGAGGGGAGUAUCUUGGAGCCUGCACAUGACAUCCUCACAUUCCCACAGAGUGGGACAGCUCUGCUUUGUGUAAAGGUCCUGACUCCUUGAAGGUUUGUUAAAUAUAUUUCACUUUUGCCGGUCGAAUGAACAACCUUUCAGUAUGUUUCCUAGUUCAGAACACUAUACCCACAUUGUUUAGAACAUUUAAAAUCAAUUGCAUCUUUGUGAGAAAGUAUUUUUUAGGUAAUUCGGAAACUAUGUUUCUAUGCUACUAUGUCCUACCAUAUUCUACUAAUAUGUAUAUGGUUUUCUUACCUUCCACAUCAGCUAAUUCUAAAGAUAUGUUACAGCUUAAUUCUUUAGAUCAGUUGCCCCUUUUCAAUGAUCAAUGC